AGAACAGAGGGAGAGAAAGAACCACAAUGAGCGAGCCUAGGUGGAUUCAAACUGCAUUACUUCUCACAACGCUGCUUAAAUUAACAGCAGGUGGAAAUCGAACCGUCUCCAUGCUCGUCAGAGAAGGAGAUAAGGUCACGCUACCUUGUGAAGAUCUGAACCCCAGUCAGCAGAACUGUGACAGCGCUAUGUGGAUCUUUCGUAGUCUGACAAACACAGAAACAGUUGAGCUUGUUAAACAUGGGCAGACUGUUGAAAACACCAGAUUUAAAUCAGACAGGCUGAGUGUAACAGAAAACUGUUCUCUGGUUUUAAAGAAGGUCAUAUAUGCCGAUGCUGGUCAUUACAUCUGCCAACAGUCCACGUCAGAGGUCAGCCAAGCUCAGGGUACUGUGGUUGAUGUCUCUGUUGUUUACAUGACUGAAGUGAGUAAAAGCAACGGUGUGACGCUACGCUGCGCGGUGUCAUCAGUCGAGCGCUGCAAACACAGAGUGCAGUGGUUCUACCAGGGUAAAGGUGUGAACAAAGAUCCAGAGGGUCCGUCAGUGUUGAGCUUUCACUGCUAUGCCUUCGUCACGUUUGAGCCUGAUCAUUUCAUGUACAAAUCAAGAUACACAUCACUGCAGUGUGAAGUCAUGGACAGAGACACAGGCUCAGUGAAGCUGUUUCUCUUUAGACUCCCAUCAGAUAAGGAGGCUACAACACCCCCAAAUACUUCCACAGCUGUAGAAACAUCACCCAUAACAACAACAGCAACGAAGGAACCAGAGGGAACAACAGAGAGAGAUAUAAGAGCAGCUCAGUGGAGGUUCAUCAUUGUCUCUGCAGGUUUAUCAGCUCUCAUAAUUUCUGUUGUGGUGGUCAACAUUUGGGCAAGAACUCAAGGUGGGUGAUGAUCAUGAUGACGAUAGGUCUUCUGCAGAAGUUUGACCAGACCAGACCAAUCACCAAUCAAUCAUUAUCAAUCCUGGUUUCCACACUACUUUUGCUGAGUCAACGAUCAGACAUCAUCAACCUUUAUUCGAAUCUCCAGGAUCACUGGGGUUUCUCUCAUUUACAAUGAUGUUGGGUUACAGAAUAAAAAUGAAGCAACUCAGGAAAUCCUUCUUGCCGAGGCUGGAGAAGACAUCACUUUGCCGUGUGAAUAUGUCUCAAGAGAUCAGCAUGAGUGUGGAGAUACUACCUGGGUCUUCAAUGAUUUAGAGGGCAUAGAAGCAGAGGUAGUUACCCAUGGAUGGUUCUCUAGGAACGCUGGAGCUUUAGCGUUCAGACCAUAGCCUGUAGAAAGAAUCGGACAUACCCCGUGUGACAUCAGUCGUCUGCUUACAAUAGGCGGACUCAGACGGCCUUUGAAGCCCAUUCGUGGAUGCCUCCAUAUUGAAAUCGCAGCCUCAACCGAACUUUAGAUCAACCUAACGGCCCGCCCAC